UCUCUGGUAGCUCAGAUGGUAAAGAAUCUGCCUGCAAUGCAGGAGACCCAGGUUCGAUCCCUGGGUUGGGAA
rnacentral:tRNA from 1 species